UACGUAGGGGGCUAGCGUUGUCCGGAAUCAUUGGGCGUAAAGAGCGUGUAGGCGGCCCGGUAAGUCUGCUGUGAAAGUCGGGGGCUCAACCCUCGAAUGCCGGUGGAUACUGUCGGACUAGAGUGCGGAAGAGGCGAGUGGAAUUCCUGGUGUAGCGGUGAAAUGCGCAGAUAUCAGGAGGAACACCAAUUGCGAAGGCAGCUCGCUGGGACGUUACUGACGCUGAGACGCGAAAGCGUGGGGAGCAAACAGG
rnacentral:rRNA from 1 species